AGAGAAUUACCGGGCGAGUUUUCUGGCUGAGCGCCAUGUUGAUGAAGGCGGCAGCGACGGUGGACAAGGGGAGGCCGGCCCCGAUCGACCGGAAACCUUUCAAGAGCAGCAGAAAAAGUUUAACCCUCGAACGAAUCCCAUCAAACGUUUGAAGAAGAAUCAGAGAGAGAGAGAGAGAGAGAGAGAGAGACCUCGGAAUGUCUCCCAUGGAUACACGAGGCCGUCGUGGUUGCGGUCGAAGAACGCGACGUGCUUCUGCAGGACGCUCUGGUCGUGCGGCAUCGCGGGAUCGUACUUCUCCACAUUUCUACCUGCAAAACGAGUCCCAAACCACUCCCCAUAUUCACCAAAA